GAUGAAGAACGUAGCGAAAUGCGAUACGUAAUGUGAAUUGCAGAAUUCAGUGAAUCAUCGAAUCUUUGAACGCACAUUGCGCCCGCCAGCAUUCUGGCGGGCAUGCCUGUUCGAGCGUCAUUUCAACCCUCGCAGCCCAUCUGGGCAGCGGUGUUGGGGACCGGCACCACCGGCGAAGCCCUUAGGGACCCAGCCGGCGCCGCCCCCGAAAUACAGUGGCGGUCUCGCUGCAGCCUCCCUUGCGUAGUAGCACACCUCGCACCGGAGCGCAGCGCGGCCACGCCGUAAAACCCCCGACUUUCUGAGUUUGACCUCGAAUCAGGUAGGAAUACCCGCUGAACUUAAGCAUAUCAAUAAGCGGAGGA
rnacentral:misc_RNA from 1 species